UACGUAGGGUGCAAGCGUUGUCCGGAAUUAUUGGGCGUAAAGAGCUCGUAGGCGGUCUGUCGCGUCGGCUGUGAAAUCCCCAGGCUCAACCUGGGAACUGCGUCUGAUACUGGUUGGCUUGAAUCCGGGAGAGGGAUGCAGAAUUCCAGGUGUAGCGGUGAAAUGCGUAGAUAUCUGGAGGAAUACCGGUGGCGAAGGCGGCAUCCUGGACCGGCAUUGACGCUGAGGAGCGAAAGCUAGGGGAGCAAACGGG
rnacentral:rRNA from 1 species